CUUGGACAAUAAAAUAAUUAUUUUAUGAUCUGA
rnacentral:rRNA from 1 species